AGCAGCGCUGCGUCCAACCGCUUCGGGUCCACCACGGGAAAGAGGCCGCACUUCCGCCAAGCCGGAAAUCACAUAAGCUCCGCAAGAUCUCGCGAGAGUGAAUUGAAAGAAGCGCCUGUCGGCCUGCUUGAUUUCCGACGAGACGAGAGAAGGGGCGAAAACUUCCUAGAGCGGCAUUGAUGUGUUCCGGGGACCGUGAUUCUUUAAAUCCUAUUCUUUUCUCGCGCGCGCAAUCCUUCGCGAGUCGACUGUGAGAACAAUAGCAGGAAUUCCGGAUUUUAGCGUAGGAGCCGGUGUGACCUGGACCAGGGUUCCUGCUUUGUGUCUCAUGGGUUCAUAUGGAAAGUUAUACCAAUGGAGAAAAUAGUAUUCUUAUAGCAGAAGAAGAUCAAGACCUCAAAGAGAAAAGGCCAUCUGUUACAAGUAACACGACCAAACAAGGAACAUCUCUGACUCGGAGCCACAGUGUUGGUGGCCCACUGCAAAACAUUGACCUUCUACAGAGGCUUUCUCAUGGCGUUUCAACAGUUAGCCUUCCUAACUGUUUACAGGAGGCUGUGGAUCCUUUGUCCAAAAUGGCAAAUCCUUUGCCUGUAUCUGUGCCCUAUUUGAGCCCAUUGGUACUCCGGAAAGAGCUAGAAUCUUUGUUGGAAAACGAGGGGGAACAAGUGAUACACACUUCAACAAUUCAUCAAUCAGCAUCCCAUUAUUUUCUGGAAUCUAGUGUGGUAUUUCCGACGCCUAGACCUGCCUAGUAAUUUGCCAGGGCUCAUUUUAACCUCAGAACAUUGUAAUAAAGGUGUGCAGGUAAGUCCUGGACAGAUACUUCAACAUGCUGAAUUUAUUUGGUGAAAUGUUCAUUUCUGUAAAGAUAAAGAAGACAAUGUUCCAGCGUUUUUGUACCAAUAUCUUCUUCCUGUUAAUUCCAGGAGGUACAAAUACAAUAUCAAAUGAUUGUGUUUAAUUGAAGUUUUACUUCCACUUCAAGUUAGAUGUUCAAAAUCAUUACAGAAAUGUAAUGAAUGCUGCAGAGUGUAACUGCAAGCUCUAAAAAGCAACUGGUUCUUUUCAGAAUAUUGAGGGGGAAAUAGAACACAAUCCAAUCUGAGUUCUUGACUUAUUCAGUAAAAUAGUGAGAAUGAAAAGUUUUUAACACUCAAGUUCUAGCUGUACAUUCUUCCAUGAGAGAGCAUGGAGAGUGAGAAGUGAAAGACAAAAUAGAGUUAGAAUAUGGUAAAAGCUCAGUCAUGUAAGAAAUAAUAUGAUUUCCUGGAAAUCCACACAGAAAAUGCGGAACAUUUAGCAAAUACACUUUAAGUGGCAAUUUUAUAAGGUAUUUCUGUUUAGAAAUAGAAUUGUUUGUUUUCCAACU